rnacentral:rRNA from 1 species
AUGACGGUACCUUGCGAAUAAGAGGUUACUAACUCUGUGCCAGCAGUAGCGGUAAUACAGAGACCUCAAGCGUUAUCCGGAUUUAUUGGGCGUAAAGAGUGGGUAGGUGGUCGUGUUAGUCAGAUGUCAAAUCCUUCGACUCAAUCGAAGAACUGCAUUUGAAACGGCACGACUUGAGGCGGUGAGAGACCAGUGGAAUUCACGGUGUAGUAGUGAAAUGCGUUGAUAUCGUGAAGAACACCAAAGGCGAAGGCAGCUGGUUGGCACCGAUCUGACACUGAGCCACGAAAGCGUGGGGAGCGAAUGGGAUUAGAUACCCCAGUAGUCCACGCCCUAAACGAUGCACACUAGGUAUGGGAGGAAUCGACCCCUUCCGUGCCGCAGCUAACGCGUUAAGUGUGCCGCCUGGGAAGUACGAGCGCAAGCUUAAAACUCAAAGGAAUAGACGGGGAUCCGCACAAGUGGUGGAGCAUGUGGUUUAAUUCGACGAUAACCGAGGAACCUCACCAGGGUUUGAAAUCUAGCUGGAGAUCUUAGAAAUAAGAAGUCCUUCGAGGCCGCUAGACCAGGUGCUGCAUGGUCGUCGUCAGCUCGUGUCGUAAGAUGUUCCGUUAAGUCGGGAAACGAGCGCAACCCCUGUCGCGUGUUACACGUAUCACGCGAGACCGCCCCGCACCUUUUUUCUGAAUAUUUCGGAGGAAGGGUGCGGGGAGGAAGGAGGGGAUGACGUCAGAUCAGCAUGGCCCUCUGACACCCUGGGCGACACACGUGCUACAAUGGCCGGUAUAAAGGGUUGCCAAGUCGCGAGACGGAGCUAAUCCCAAAAAACCGGCCCCAGUUCGGAUUGGAGUCUGCAACUCGACUCCAUGAAGCCGGAAUCACUAGUAAUCGUGAAUCAGCCAAGUCACGGUGAAUACGUUCUCGGAUCUUGUACU